rnacentral:rRNA from 1 species
UACGUAGGGGGCAAGCGUUGUCCGGAUUUAUUGGGCGUAAAGAGCGUGUAGGCGGCCAUACAGGUCAGCUGUGAAACUCGAGGCUCAACCUCGAGACGUCGGUUGAAACCGUAUGGCUAGAGUCCGGAAGAGGAGAGUGGAAUUCCCGGUGUAGCGGUGAAAUUCGUAGAUAUCGAGAAGAACACCGGUGGCGAAGGCGGCCAAGCUGG